AGCAGCCGCGGUAAUUCCAGCUCCAAUAGCGUAUAUUAAAGUUGUUGCAGUUAAAAAGCUCGUAGUUGAAUUUCGGGAUCAAUUAAUUGGUCGUGCCUCUGGUACGUACUGGUUUUAUUGGUUUCUCCCUUCUGACGAACCAUGAUGUCAUUAAUUUGGUGUCGUGGAGAAUCAGGACUGUUACUUUGAAAAAAUUAGAGUGUUUAAAGCAAGCUAACGCUUGAAUACAUUAGCAUGGAAUAAUGAAAUAGGACGUUUGAUCCUAUUUUGUUGGUUUCUAGGAUCGACGUAAUGAUUAAUAGGGAUAGUUGGGGGCAUUAGUAUUCAAUUGUCAGAGGUGAAAUUCUUGGAUUUAUUGAAGACUAACUACUGCGAAAGCAUUUGCCAAGGAUGUUUUCAUUAAUCAAGAACGAAAGUUAGGGGAUCGAAGACGAUCAGAUACCGUCGUAGUCUUAACCAUAAACUAUGCCGACUAGGGAUCGGAUGAUGUUAAUUUUUUAAUGACUCAUUCGGCGCCUUA
rnacentral:misc_RNA from 1 species